rnacentral:rRNA from 1 species
GGGGUUUUUGUUUGGAGAGUUUGAUCCUGGCUCAGGACGAACGCUGGCGGCGUGCUUAACACAUGCAAGUCGAACGGAAAGGCCCUUUCGGGGGUACUCGAGUGGCGAACGGGUGAGUAACACGUGGGUGAUCUGCCCUGCACUUCGGGAUAAGCUUGGGAAACUGGGUCUAAUACCGGAUAGGACCAUGCUGCGCAUGUGGUGUGGUGGAAAGUUUUUAACGGUGUGGGAUGGGCCCGCGGCCUAUCAGCUUGUUGGUGGGGUGAUGGCCUACCAAGGCGACGACGGGUAGCCGGCCUGAGAGGGUGUCCGGCCACACUGGGACUGAGAUACGGCCCAGACUCCUACGGGAGGCAGCAGUGGGGAAUAUUGCACAAUGGGCGCAAGCCUGAUGCAGCGACGCCGCGUGGGGGAUGACGGCCUUCGGGUUGUAAACCUCUUUCACCAUCGACGAAGCUUCGGGUGACCGGGGUGACGGUAGGUGGAGAAGAAGCACCGGCCAACUACGUGCCAGCAGCCGCGGUAAUACGUAGGGUGCGAGCGUUGUCCGGAAUUACUGGGCGUAAAGAGCUCGUAGGUGGUUUGUCGCGUUGUUCGUGAAAUCUCACGGCUUAACUGUGAGCGUGCGGGCGAUACGGGCAGACUGGAGUACUGCAGGGGAGACUGGAAUUCCUGGUGUAGCGGUGGAAUGCGCAGAUAUCAGGAGGAACACCGGUGGCGAAGGCGGGUCUCUGGGCAGUAACUGACGCUGAGGAGCGAAAGCGUGGGGAGCGAACAGGAUUAGAUACCCUGGUAGUCCACGCCGUAAACGGUGGGUACUAGGUGUGGGUUUCCUUCCUUGGGAUCCGUGCCGUAGCUAACGCAUUAAGUACCCCGCCUGGGGAGUACGGCCGCAAGGCUAAAACUCAAAGGAAUUGACGGGGGCCCGCACAAGCGGCGGAGCAUGUGGAUUAAUUCGAUGCAACGCGAAGAACCUUACCUGGGUUUGACAUGCACAGGACGAUCGCAGAGAUGCGGUUUCCCUUGUGGUCUGUGUGCAGGUGGUGCAUGGCUGUCGUCAGCUCGUGUCGUGAGAUGUUGGGUUAAGUCCCGCAACGAGCGCAACCCUUGUCUCAUGUUGCCAGCGCGUGAUGGCGGGGACUCGUGAGAGACUGCCGGGGUCAACUCGGAGGAAGGUGGGGAUGACGUCAAGUCAUCAUGCCCCUUAUGUCCAGGGCUUCACACAUGCUACAAUGGCCGGUACAAAGGGCUGCGAUGCCGUGAGGUUUAGCGAAUCCUUUAAAGCCGGUCUCAGUUCGGAUCGGGGUCUGCAACUCGACCCCGUGAAGUCGGAGUCGCUAGUAAUCGCAGAUCAGCAAUGCUGCGGUGAAUACGUUCCCGGGCCUUGUACACACCGCCCGUCACGUCAUGAAAGUCGGUAACACCCGAAGCCCAUGGCCUAACCCCUUGUGGGAGGGAGUGGUCGAAGGUGGGAUCGGCGAUUGGGACGAAGUCGUAACAAGGUAGCCGUACCGGAAGGUGCGGCUGGAUCACCUCCUUUCUAA